GGAGUGUAACGUGGAAUUCUGGAGCCAUGAGAAUUUCUGCAGAGGCCUUGUCUGAGGGGAUGUUGCUGUGAGGUUUGACAAGUCCAUGUUUUCAGGCAAGCUGCAAGUGGUCUGCAUGGCUCCACAAGUGACCAGCUGCUGCAGAAGCUUCUGACAAAUCUUCUUUCCUUGGAGCCUCUCUUCAGAAAUCUUUCCAAGUGUUGUCGUUUGGCCUUGAUCCACCUGCUUGCCUGUUUUGCCCGGUGGCCACAGGCAAAGAAAAUCAGCAAGGGGAACUUCUCAUCUGAGCUCCAAAAUCAGAACAGAGAACAAUGAGAAAACUUGAAGAUGUUUAAAAAUUUUUAUGGUUUGCCCUCGGCUCUGUAUUUCAUAGGGACUGGCCCCAUGUAAAAGCAAAGGCAGGUGAAAUAUCCUGAAUUCAAGAUACAAGUGUAUUUGGUAGCUUCAUUUGGAAUUACAAUAAGUCUCUCAUAGGGAGCAUGGCACAUAUUGGCAAAUGUUAAACAUUUUAGAACUCAGUGCAUCUCUCUUCUCUAUACAUCCAUACAUCACAGCUGUGAAGAAGUGACGUUUAGUCAUAAGUUCAAGACUCAUGCCCAACAUUUCCCAACUGGCAAGUUCUUAAUCACAUUAACAUUCACAUCCGCUUGCUGCCAUGUUCCUAAAAUGAAGAUUAAUUUUCACCAUGCCAAAGUUCUGAAUGUCACAGGAUUUCUGUAGUCAUCAUUCACGACACUUUCCACUAAGUAGUAGCGAAAACAUUUUCAGUGGCUGGUAUGGAAAUGUGGAGGGUUAUGAAGAAUUACUGCAUGAUCUAGCCCAAUGUCUUGUUUCUCAGAAAGGCAAGCAUCUCAUCCCUGGAGCCUGUUUUGGGAGGAGGAGAAGAGCAAAUAAACACUUC
rnacentral:lncRNA from 1 species